rnacentral:siRNA from 1 species
CCCAUCCCAUCCCACUCCCACAAA